GGAAGGAUCAUUCACACAUUAGUCUGAUAAUACUUUCACCAUGAACUCGUGUCUCACUGGGUGCAAUGGAUGCACGCCCCUGGUGCCUCUUUGGUACCAGGGUGGCUACAGUGGGACGAUGCUCUCUACGUGAGGAAUUGACGAUCUAUUAGUUAUCAACACUUUCAGCGAUGGACGUCUUGGUUCCCAAUUCGAUGAAGGACGCAGCCAAUUGCGAUAAGCAGUGCGAAUUGCAGAAAUCUGUGAACCAUCAGACCUCUGAACGCAUAUGGCACUCAUGGGACCCGUUCUCAGAGUGUGCUUGGCUCAGUGUAUCAAUUUUCAAUUCAAACUUCCAGAGCUGACGUCGUGAUUUGCAGUAGGUGCAUGAUACUCCGUCGUCAUAAAACCUAAACAUGUUGUCUUCCUUGCAGUUGGGGUUAGGGUAUUUGUAAUACAUAACAACCUGCACGGAUCUUACAAUAUAAUGUUCUCAUAAAAUAAAUGUUCAUGUUUUUACCUGAGCUCACGCAAGGCAACCCGCUGAAUUUAAGCAUAUAAUUAAGCGGAGGAAGAGAAACUAACCAGGAUUCUCUUAGUAGUGGCGAAUGAACAGGGAAGAGCCCAAAAUGAAUAUCACGUGCAUACUGUGCGCGAAUUGUAGUCUGAAGUAGUGUUGCCAGUGGGCGCCGCAGAGGAAAGUCUCUUGGAAGAGAACGCCAAAGAGGGUGAGAGUCCCGUCGUGACUCUGCACGCGUCUACAUACGGCUCACUUUCUUAGAGUCGCGUUUCUUGGGAGUGAAACGCAAAGUGGGUGGUAGACUUCAUCUAAGGCUAAAUAGUUAUGGGAAACCGAUAGCAAAUAAGUACCUUGAGGGAAAGAUGAAAAGGACUUUGAAAAGAGAGUUAAAAUUCCCCGAAAUUGCUGAGAAGUAAGCGGUUGAAAUGCGAGUACAGCCUUGGAAAUUAGUCGCUGAAAGUGGGCUUGUGCGAACCCUCACAUUAGGAUGGCGCUCAUAAGUUCCACUGAAGGCAACGGAUUUCCGGGAGGAGUCAGCUGCGGUUAGUGCCGUUGCGUGGGUUACUUUAACGGACGUGUUCUUUUGAAUCGUUGCUGCUUGUGGCUCUUCACGGACGGUUCCUGACCGAGGGACGCGCACCUUUGGUGCUGCGUAGCUGACAAGAGACUUUCCACCGGCCCGUCUUGAAACACGGAUCAAGGAGUCCAACACAUAUGCGUGUCUGCGGGUAAUAAUCCUGUGGGCGUAAUGAAAGUGAACGGUUCUGUUCAAGAACGACCGACCACGAUCGCUGAGAGGGGUUUGAGUACGAGCAUAUCUGUUGGGACCCGAAAGAUGGUGAACUAUUCCUGAAUAGGGUGAAGCCAGGGGAAACCCUGGUGGAGGCUCGUAGCGAUACUGACGUGCAAAUCGUUCGUCAAAUUUGGGUAUAGGGGCGAAAGACUAAUCGAACCAUCUAGUAGCUGGUUCCCUC
rnacentral:misc_RNA from 1 species